UACGAAGGGGGCUAGCGUUGUUCGGAAUUACUGGGCGUAAAGCGCGCGCAGGCGGUCCUUUAAGUCUGAUGUGAAAGCCCACGGCUCAACCGUGGAGGGUCAUUGGAAACUGGGGGGCUUGAGUGCAGGAGAGAAGAGUGGAAUUCCACGUGUAGCGGUGAAAUGCGUAGAGAUGUGGAGGAACACCAGUGGCGAAGGCGACUCUUUGGCCUGUGACUGACGCUGAGGCGCGAAAGCGUGGGGAGCAAACAGG
rnacentral:rRNA from 1 species